rnacentral:tRNA from 1 species
GCUGCUGUAGCUCAGAUGGUAGAGCAACUGAUUCGUAAUCAGUAGGUCACCAGUUCGAUUCCGGUCAGCAGCACCA